rnacentral:rRNA from 1 species
CGGGGUGGAGGAAUACAUCGGAAUCUACUCUGUCGUGGGGGAGUAACGUAGGGAAACUUACGCUAAUACCGCAUACGACCUACGGGUGAAAGCAGGGGAUCUUCGGACCUUGCGCGAUUGAAUGAGCCGAUGUCGGAUUAGCUAGUUGGCGGGGUAAAGGCCCACCAAGGCGACGAUCCGUAGCUGGUCUGAGAGGAUGAUCAGCCACACUGGAACUGAGACACGGUCCAGACUCCUACGGGAGGCAGCAGAC